GAUGAAGAACGUAGCGAAAUGCGAUAAGUAAUGUGAAUUGCAGAAUUCAGUGAAUCAUCGAAUCUUUGAACGCACAUUGCGCCCCCUGGUAUUCCGGGGGGCAUGCCUGUUCGAGCGUCAUUUCACCACUCAAGCCUCGCUUGGUAUUGGGCAUCGCGGUCCGCCGCGCGCCUCAAAUCGACCGGCUGGGUCUUCUGUCCCCUAAGCGUUGUGGAAACUAUUCGCUAAAGGGUGUUCGGGAGGCUACGCCGUAAAACAACCCCAUUCCUAAGGUUGACCUCGGAUCAGGUAGGGAUACCCGCUGAACUUAAGCAUAUCAAUAAGCGGAGGA
rnacentral:misc_RNA from 1 species